rnacentral:pre_miRNA from 1 species
UUCCUACUCCCUUCGUUCGAAAUUACUUGUCGCAGAAAUGGAUGUAUCUAAAUGUAUUCUAGAUACAUCCAUUUCUGCGACGAGUAAUUCCGAAUGGAGGGAGUACGUG